AGCUUGAGCGUAUCUGCAGAGAAGAAUGGCGGAAAAUCCCCAAAUCCAGAUCAAGCAUUGGAACAACGUUUACAGGGGAGAACAGGCACUCAACAACACCAAAAGUCCAUCACUAAUGCACCAAGGAUUGGGCUUAUGACUGGAAAUUUGGAAUAUUGUUCUUUAUCUGCACUGUCACUUGGUAAAGAUUCAUUGACCUUUUGCGGUAUGUUUUGAUUUGACUCAUUAAUACACUGCCUAGUUGGGAUUCGGGAUUAAAAGUGUAAUGUUUGUCCUCAUAUAUUAUCAGAAUUAAAUGGAGGAACCUGGGAUCUGGAGAAUAUUAAGGAAAACCAUAUAAUACUGAAUUGGAAAACACAAGCAAGAAAAAAAAAAAA
ensembl:lncRNA